rnacentral:rRNA from 2 species
UAAUUGAAGAGUUUGAUCAUGGCUCAGAUUGAACGCUGGCGGCAGGCCUAACACAUGCAAGUCGAGCGGCAGCGACAACAAAGAUUCUUCGGAGGAUUUGUUGGGCGGCGAGCGGCGGACGGGUGAGUAAUGGCUGGGAACCUGCCCUGACGUGGGGGAUAACAGUUGGAAACGACUGCUAAUACCGCAUGAUGUCUUCGGACCAAAGAGGAGGACCUUCGGGCUUCUCGCGUCGGGAUGGGCCCAGUUGGGAUUAGCUAGUUGGUGAGGUAAUGGCUCACCAAGGCGACGAUCCCUAGCUGGUUUGAGAGGAUGAUCAGCCACACUGGAACUGAGACACGGUCCAGACUCCUACGGGAGGCAGCAGUGGGGAAUAUUGCACAAUGGGCGCAAGCCUGAUGCAGCCAUGCCGCGUGUGUGAAGAAGGCCUUCGGGUUGUAAAGCACUUUCAGCAGUGAGGAAGGGUGAUGAGUUAAUACCU